rnacentral:lncRNA from 1 species
CACACUAAAAGAGUGAUGAUUGAGUUCAACUCAAGCAUGAUUUGGAACUCCAUAAAUGUAGAGAAAUUAACACAUUGAAUAGCAAGAUUCAGUUGUGUGAAUUACGUGGGAAGGAAAAAUCCUUACAAGCAUAUCAAAGGUUAGUUAGGAAGAUACAUGAAUGACGCUGAGGUAAGUUUCAUUUUACUAAAUAGCUAACUUCUUCCCAAUAAAUUUUGUUUAAUUACAAAAUACUAAAUGCUGUCAAUAUUGAUUAUUAUAUGAAAAUUGCAGUAACUACAGAUUGUAUGUGUACCACUGAAUAGAUCAUUAAUAGCAUGUCUGGAUUUCUUAUUUCGAAAUGUUAUAGCACAUUAUGCCCAUGAAUGGACAAAUAUAAAUAAGCUUUCCAUUUCAAAAGUCUCUGAAAAUACUAACCAUUGAACAAAAGAGAUCAGGUUUAAAUGAUGCAAUGACUAUGAAUAAUAGAGUUGCCGCAAAUGACUACUGGGUACCAGGUUAAAUAAAUGAUGAUAAGAUAAUUUGAUAUCACAAGAAAUUAAAAUUAAAAUAUUUAAGUCACAGGUAGCAGACAUUCUAAAUAACACAAAAUUUCUCAUAGACAGGACAGCCCUGAAAAGCCAAUUUAUCAGUAAAGUAGUUUGCCAAGGUUGGCAGCCUCCCCUAUAUGCAGUGAAUUUGGGCAAAUAACCCUCUUUCGGGUUGCUUGGGGGAAUAGUUUGUUACUUCAUAAAUGCUUUCAGUAGAAUGGCAUCCAAGUUUUUUGGGUACUGGGUUGGGUCCCACCACACAAAGCUCAAUAGCAGAGUCCAUCUCUGCAUUAGUUGACACCAUACAAUGUCAUUAUCUCGAGGAGGAAGGAUAUUUCUGCCUCAACAAUAUCGAUAACAGAAUAUUUUCCAUAUAACCACCUAAUAACUCCCAUUUAUAAAGAUCUCAUAAUAUAUUAUACAUCAUUUUAAAGUGAAAAUAAGAGCCUAAAAAUUUCUCUGGGUAUAAUCUAUAGAAUUAUCGGCUUAGGACUAAGGGUGCAAAAUGAGUUGAGCCAAACCGAGUAACAGGCUGCUCAGGCUCAGUUCAUCAUGUAAAUAAGCUGCUCAAGCUCGACUCAAACUUGAGCCACACUCAAGAGACCUGCUCAAGCUUGGGUUGGCUAUGCUUUGAGCCGAGCUUCAGUUCAGCCAAGCUGAGCUUUACCACUAUACUUGAAUCUAGGUGUUCAGGCUCGGCUUGUUUACAAACCAAGCUUUGAGUUCUGUUCAAGCUCUGUUUAUUUUUGACAGAGUCGAGCCUGAACCAAGUUGCUGUCAAGCCAAGCCCAAGUUGCUCAUGAGCAGCUCGGGUGCAGCCCAACUUGAGACAUCAUAUCGAACAAUAAUGGCCUGGAUGCACUCGCUCAGCAGUGAAGGAAGCAUACGUUGGUGUGGAGAGAUAUAAAUGCCCCCAGCCCCCCACUAUACACUUCUGGAGGAAAAAGAUUUUCUUCAACAAACAUGUGUAGAACAUUUAAAGGCAAACUAUGUGGAAUCAUUACUAAAUAGUUGUAUUACAAUUUGCAAUUUUUUAAUGGCUAACAAGCUGAAAGAUUAGUAUGUAUUUGAACUUGCUAGAAUCUACAGUGCUGCAUGGACACAAACCCAGGAAUAUCCAAAUGACUAGCUCAACAAAAGUAAAGAAAGAACAAGAUAAAAUGGGAGAGGGGAGCGAGAUACAAGGAAACACAAGAACAUGUAAUUUUAGGUUGAUUAUACAUAUUCCAUGUUUUCUAAAUAAUUAUAUAAAAAUUAAAAGAAAUCAUUUCUCAAGAUGUUUAAAUUUACAUGUUCGUCAUCAAAAUUUCAAAAUUAGCUCAAGUAUAGAAGAAACAUAACAUUUCUGCUAAGUUGUUCUGACUUUUGCAUCCUUAAUUAAGCUCUAAAAACAAUAAAAGACUAGUUCAAACAUUAGCCAGUCCCCACUCAUCGUCAGAAAGACCAACUCAGCAUUGAUCGUUGAACAUUGCAACCAAAGAAUUUGAUAAGUAUUUACAAUUUUGACAUGUAUCAACUUGCAGAUAUGUAUCCAACACCGAUUAUUUGAGAUGGACACAGAAGUCCAUGCGACAUAGAUCUAAAACGUGGUUUUACAUUGCCAAUCAAGACAAUCUACAUACCAGCAAAUAUAUAACUGAAACUUAAGUAUACGUAACAUUUUAAUAGUUAGACUUCAGAUAUUUUGAUAACCCUUGACACACAAUUCUUCUAUCACCCUGCCCUGUCUCCGAAACAGUUUUCUGAAUAUAAGAUCUUCUACCUGACUGUGUCAGCAAUAUCCAACUAGAGUCAUAUUGCCUACCCCAAUAUAGUAUCUUGGUUAAGCUCAAUUACAGAUGGAAAUGACAAUGUGGACUCUAAUUAAAAGUUGAGGCCAAAGAAUAAAAUGGUGUAAUGAAUUUACUAACUCAUUCAUUAGGCAUGAAAACUUACUAUCCAACUGCAUCUUUAUUCCAGCCUCUAAUAAGCUGGUCUCCAGUAAUUGUAACGGCGGCAUAAAGCAUCUUCUGUAGGGUUUUUAAAUAUGUUUGAAAGGUUUUAAGAAAAAUGUUACAGGCCUUUAUGGUGCACAGAAUAUUUACCUAGUCAAAUUUGGCAAGUUAACCAUGUUAGCUUGGUUGACAGGACCUACAUAUGAACUAGAACACUAUACAUGAUAGUUUGAGUUACUGAGUGAUAGUCAAAUCCAACUAUGUUAGCAUUGCAUAAAAGUCAGUUUACAGUUUUUAAGGUAACAGAUAAUUCACAAAUGUAGUAAUAAGCCUUUGGUGACACACAAUGAGCAUACGGAGAAAGUGGCUUGUAGGAGAACCCAAAAAGACUAAGCUUUAUGCUUAUGCUAAAGUGAAGCUAUUAUUCAUACUCGUUAAUUAUGAUGAGUUUGCCCAUGUCAAAGCAAACACUUUUCUGCAUUUGCAGCAAUGAUAUAAGUGGACUAAGUAACUUGAAUUCGAACAAGAACCAAAUAGAUUUAAGCACAAAUCUAACCCGAUAUCUAAAAGUGGCUUCUAGGAGGAGCCAAAAAACUAGCUUUAAGCUCACACUUACGACAAGUGACUAGUCAUAUUUGUUGAUAAUCAUGAGUUUGCCAUGUCAAAGCAAACACUUCCUCUCUACAUUUACAACAAAUACUGAGUGGAUUAAGUAACCAGAAUUCAAACAAGAACCAAUUUAAUUUAAGCCCAAACCAGACCCAAUAUCUAGAUUAGGAUGGGCGGAAUCGUUCCGAACCAGACGGUUCCUGUCGUACCGAGCCAUCCUGGUAGCGGACCAGGACAGUUCCGGCAACGGAAAUGAAACCUAUUGCCGGAGGGGGAGAAGGAGAAGGAAAGAGAAAAAGAGAGAGCAAGCGGAAGAGGGAGGAAGUGGGAGAGGGAUGGAGAGAGGAGGGUAGCGAAGGCCGGCGAAGGGCCGGCGGAGACUAGCGCCUAGGCAGGUGAUGGAGGCCACGGCCAGAUCCCCUAUUUCGUUCGAAACAGAGGUCCGGCGGCUUUUUAAUUUCACGAUUUUUAUUUUUCCGACUUCACUUAAAAAUUGCGAAAUUAAAAAGCAGCCGGAACCCUAUUUCGAACGAAACAAGAGAUCCGGCCGCAGCCUCCGCCUCUUGCCCAGCCUCCACCACCCCUCUCUCCCUCCCUCUAUCCCCUUCUCUCUCUUUUCCUCUUUCUACCGUUCGCCCUCUCCCCCGCCUCCUCCACUGUGUCGGUACAGGCCCGGCACGGCACGGCUCAGGCCCAAACUGACUCAUGCCGCCAGAUUUACUGUGGUCCUCAUUCGAUGCAGCCAAGACCAUCGCAUGUGAUUUAAUACCCCGCAUAGUGGCUGGUUUCAGAUUACAAAGAACACAGACUUUCCGAUUCUGCAUUUCUUCAAGAGAGAUGUAUUUGACAAGACCGCUAACAACUGUCCUAGUUGAGUUGUCACCCACAUCGAUUUCUUCCACGUACAGAGAAUCAGCAUCUGGGUGCUUUUGAACUUUCUUCACCAUACCCACACGAAUGUCAAGUUUAGAUAUAGAAAUUUCUGUUUCAGAAGCCUUUGACUUUGAGCUACCAGCAGGCUUAGUCUGUUGUUUCUUUGCAUUUCCUUCUCUUAUUUUUGUGUUUUUCAGCUGCUCAGCAAUUUUUUUCUCUUCAGCUUCUGCUUUUACUUUUCUAUCAGCUUGACUACCGGC